GACGAACGCUGGCGGCGUGCCUAAUACAUGCAAGUCGAACGCAGUGGGGACGGGUGAGUAACACGUGGGUAACCUCCCAUCAGAGGGGAUAACACUUGGAAACAGGUGCUAAACCGAUACUGAUGGAUGGACCCGCGGUGCAUUGGCUAGUUGGUGAGGUAACGGCUCACCAAGGCCACGAUGCAUAGCAGAGCAGGGAGGGGGAGCGGCCACACGGAAACUGAGCCACGGCCCAGACUCCUAGGGGAGGAAGCAGGAGGGAAUCUUGGGCAAUGGACGAAAGUCUGACCGAGCAAUGCCGCGUGGGUGAAGAAGGUUUUAGGAUCGUAAAGCUGUGAUGUUAGAGAGGCGGUAUCUAACCAGAAAGCCACGGCUAACUACGUGCCAGCAGCCGCGGUAAUUC
rnacentral:rRNA from 1 species